rnacentral:rRNA from 1 species
GAAACCGAGUCUUAAUUGGGCGUUAAGUUGCAGGGUAUAGACCCGAAACCCGGUGAUCUAGCCAUGGGCAGGUUGAAGGUUGGGUAACACUAACUGGAGGACCGAACCGACUAAUGUUGAAAAAUUAGCGGAUGACCUGUGGCUGGGGGUGAAAGGCCAAUCAAACCGGGAGAUAGCUGGUUCUCCCCGAAAGCUAUUUAGGUAGCGCCUCGUGAAUUCAUCUCCGGGGGUAGAGCACUGUUUCGGCUAGGGGGCCAUCCCGGCUUACCAACCCGAUGCAAACUGCGAAUACCGGAGAAUGUUAUCACGGGAGACACACGGCGGGUGCUAACGUCCGUCGUGAAGAGGGAAACAACCCAGACCGCCAGCUAAGGUCCCAAAGUCAUGGUUAAGUGGGAAACGAUGUGGGAAGGCCCAGACAGCCAGGAUGUUGGCUUAGAAGCAGCCAUCAUUUAAAGAAAGCGUAAUAGCUCACUGGUCGAGUCGGCCUGCGCGGAAGAUGUAACGGGGCUAAACCAUGCACCGAAGCUGCGGCAGCGAACGUAUCACCCAAGACAACUUUACGGAGUUGACGAUUGACGGAGCGAAGCGACGUCAAAGCGUUCAUUAAAGUCGAGUUGGCUUAGGGAUACGUUCGUUGGGUAGGGGAGCGUUCUGUAAGCCUGUGAAGGUGUGUCGUGAGGCAUGCUGGAGGUAUCAGAAGUGCGAAUGCUGACAUAAGUAACGAUAAAGCGGGUGAAAAGCCCGCUCGCCGGAAGACCAAGGGUUCCUGUCCAACGUUAAUCGGGGCAGGGUGAGUCGACCCCUAAGGCGAGGCCGAAAGGCGUAGUCGAUGGGAAACGGGUUAAUAUUCCCGUACUUGGUGUUACUGCGAAGGGGGGACGGAGAAGGCUAUGUUGGCCGGGCGACGGUUGUCCCGGUUUAAGCGUGUAGGUGUGUGUUCCAGGUAAAUCCGGUUCACUUUAACACUGAGGCGUGACGACGAGGCACUACGGUGCUGAAGCAACAAAUGCCCUGCUUCCAGGAAAAGCCUCUAAGCAUCAGGUAACACGAAAUCGUACCCCAAACCGACACAGGUGGUCAGGUAGAGAAUACCAAGGCGCUUGAGAGAACUCGGGUGAAGGAACUAGGCAAAAUGGUGCCGUAACUUCGGGAGAAGGCACGCUGACACGUAGGUGAAGUGAUUUACUCAUGGAGCUGAAGUCAGUCGAAGAUACCAGCUGGCUGCAACUGUUUAUUAAAAACACAGCACUGUGCAAACACGAAAGUGGACGUAUACGGUGUGACGCCUGCCCGGUGCCGGAAGGUUAAUUGAUGGGGUCAGCGCAAGCGAAGCUCCUGAUCGAAGCCCCGGUAAACGGCGGCCGUAACUAUAACGGUCCUAAGGUAGCGAAAUUCCUUGUCGGGUAAGUUCCGACCUGCACGAAUGGCGUAAUGAUGGCCAGGCUGUCUCCACCCGAGACUCAGUGAAAUUGAACUCGCUGUGAAGAUGCAGUGUACCCGCGGCAAGACGGAAAGACCCCGUGAACCUUUACUAUAGCUUGACACUGAACAUUGAGCCUUGAUGUGUAGGAUAGGUGGGAGGCUUUGAAGUGUGGACGCCAGUCUGCAUGGAGCCGACCUUGAAAUACCACCCUUUAAUGUUUGAUGUUCUAACGUGGACCCGUAAUCCGGGUUGCGGACAGUGUCUGGUGGGUAGUUUGACUGGGGCGGUCUCCUCCUAAAGAGUAACGGAGGAGCACGAAGGUUGGCUAAUCCUGGUCGGACAUCAGGAGGUUAGUGCAAUGGCAUAAGCCAGCUUGACUGCGAGCGUGACGGCGCGAGCAGGUGCGAAAGCAGGUCAUAGUGAUCCGGUGGUUCUGAAUGGAAGGGCCAUCGCUCAACGGAUAAAAGGUACUCCGGGGAUAACAGGCUGAUACCGCCCAAGAGUUCAUAUCGACGGCGGUGUUUGGCACCUCGAUGUCGGCUCAUCACAUCCUGGGGCUGAAGUAGGUCCCAAGGGUAUGGCUGUUCGCCAUUUAAAGUGGUACGCGAGCUGGGUUUAGAACGUCGUGAGACAGUUCGGUCCCUAUCUGCCGUGGGCGCUGGAGAACUGAGGGGGGCUGCUCCUAGUACGAGAGGACCGGAGUGGACGCAUCACUGGUGUUCGGGUUGUCAUGCCAAUGGCACUGCCCGGUAGCUAAAUGCGGAAGAGAUAAGUGCUGAAAGCAUCUAAGCACGAAACUUGCCCCGAGAUGAGUUCUCCCUGAGACUUAG